rnacentral:rRNA from 1 species
GUUAGGAAUAUUGGACAAUGGGCGCAAGCCUGAUCCAGCCAUGCCGCGUGAGUGAUGAAGGCCUUCGGGUUGUAAAGCUCUUUAGUCCACGAAUAUAAUGACUGUAGUGGAAGAAUAAGCCCCGGCUAACUUCGUGCCAGCAGCCGCGGUAAUACGAAGGGGGCGAGCGUUAUUCGGAAUCACUGGGCGUAAAGCGUGCGUAGGCUGUUUUGUAAGUCAGAAGUGAAAGCCCAGGGCUUAACCCUGGAAUUGCUUUUGAAACUACAAGACUCGAAUUCGGGAGAGGAUAGCGGAAGUGUCAGUGUAGCAGUGAAAUGCGUAGAUAUUGACAGGAACACCAGUGGCGCAAGCGGCUAUCUGGACCGAUAUUGACGCUGAGGCACGAAAGCGUGGGGAGCAAACAGGAUUAGAAACCCUGGUAGUCCCAU